GACGAACGCUGGCGGCGCGCCUAACACAUGCAAGUCGAACGGAGCUGAGAGAAGCUUGCUUUUCUUAGCUUAGUGGCGAACGGGUGAGUAACGCGUGAGUAACCUGCCCUGGAGUGGGGGACAACAGUUGGAAACGACUGCUAAUACCGCAUAAGCCCACGAUCCGGCAUCGGAUUGAGGGAAAAGGAUUUAUUCGCUUCAGGAUGGACUCGCGUCCAAUUAGCUAGUUGGUGAGGUAACGGCCCACCAAGGCGACGAUUGGUAGCCGGACUGAGAGGUUGAACGGACACAUUGGGACUGAGACACGGCCCAGAAUCCUACGGGAGGCAGCAGUGGGGGAUAUUGCACAUUGGGGGAAACCCUGAUGCAGCGACGCCGCGUGGAGGAAGAAGGUUUUCGGAUUGUAAACUCCUGUCGUUAGGGACGAUAAUGACGGUACCUAACAAGAAAGCACCGGCUAACUACGUG
rnacentral:rRNA from 1 species